rnacentral:rRNA from 1 species
AGUGGCUGACGGGUGAGUAACGCGUGAGAAUCUGCCUUCAGGUCGGGGACAACAGAGGGAAACUUCUGCUAAUCCCGGAUGAGCCUUAGGGUAAAAAAUUUAUUGCCUGGAGAUGAGCUCGCGUCUGAUUAGCUAGUUGGUAAGGUAAAAGCUUACCAAGGCAACGAUCAGUAGCUGGUCUGAGAGGAUGAGCAGCCACACUGGGACUGAGACACGGCCCAGACUCCUACGGGAGGCAGCAGUGGGGAAUUUUCCGCAAUGGGCGAAAGCCUGACGGAGCAAGACCGCGUGGGGGAGGAAGGCUCUAGGGUUGUAAACCCCUUUUCUUUGGGAAGAACAAAAUGACGGUACCAAAGGAAUCAGCCUCGGCUAACUCCGUGCCAGCAGCCGCGGUAAUACGGAGGAGGCAAGCGUUAUCCGGAAUGAUUGGGCGUAAAGCGUCCGCAGGUGGCAAUGUAAGUCUGCUGUCAAAACCCAGGGCUCAACUCUGGUCAGGCAGUGGAAACUACAUAGCUAGAGUUCGGUAGGGGCAAAGGGAAUUCCCGGUGUAGCGGUGAAAUGCGUAGAGAUCGGGAAGAACAUCGGUGGCGAAAGCGCUUUGCUAGACCGAAACUGACACUCAGGGACGAAAGCUAGGGGAGCGAAUGGGAUUAGAUACCCU